rnacentral:rRNA from 1 species
CCUACGGGAGGCUGCAGUAGGGAAUCUUCCACAAUGGGCGAAAGCCUGAUGGAGCAACGCCGCGUGGGUGAAGAAGGUCUUCGGAGCGUAAAACCCUGUUGUUAGAGAAGAAAGCGUGUGAGAGUAACUGUUCACGUUUCGACGGUAUCUAACCAGAACGGCUCGGCUAAUUACGUCCCAGCAGCUGCGGUAAUAGGUCGGUGGCAUGCGUUAUCCGGAUUUAUUGGGAGUAAAGGGAACGCAGGCGGUCUUUUAGGUCUGAUGUGAAAGCCCUCGGCUUAACCCGUGAAGUGCAUGGGAAACUGGGGGUCUUGAGAGCAGAAGAGGAAAGUGGAACGCGUGGUGUAGCGGUGAAAUGCUUAGAGAUAUGAAAGAACACCAGUGGCGAAGGCAGCUCUCUGGUCUAUAUCUGACGCUGAGGUUCGAAAGCGUGGGUAGCAAACAGGAUUAGAUACCCCAGUAGUC